CCUACGGGGGGCAGCAGUGGGGAAUAUUGCUCAAUGGGGGAAACCCUGAAGCAGCAACGCCGCGUGGAGGAUGAAGGUUUUCGGAUUGUAAACUCCUUUUGUUAGAGAAGAUAAUGACGGUAUCUAACGAAUAAGCACCGGCUAACUCCGUGCCAGCAGCCGCGGUAAUACGGAGGGUGCAAGCGUUACUCGGAAUCACUGGGCGGAAAGAGCGCGUAGGCGGGAUAGCAAGUCGGAUGUGAAAUCCUAUGGCUUAACCAUAGAACUGCAUUUGAAACUGUUAUUCUAGAGUAUGGGAGAGGUAGGUGGAAUUCUUGGUGUAGGGGUAAAAUCCGUAGAGAUCAAGAGGAAUACUCAUUGCGAAGGCGACCUGCUAGAACAUAACUGACGCUGAUGCGCGAAAGCGUGGGGAGCAAACAGGAUUAGAUACCCUUGUAGUC
rnacentral:rRNA from 1 species